UCGACCGCCUGGGGAGUACGGCCGCAAGGUUAAAACUCAAAUGAAUUGACGGGGGCCCGCACAAGCGGUGGAGCAUGUGGUUUAAUUCGAUGCAACGCGAAGAACCUUACCUGGUCUUGACAUCCACAGAACUUUCCAGAGAUGGAUUGGUGCCUUCGGGAACUGUGAGACAGGUGCUGCAUGGCUGUCGUCAGCUCGUGUUGUGAAAUGUUGGGUUAAGUCCCGCAACGAGCGCAACCCUUAUCCUUUGUUGCCAGCGGUCUGGCCGGGAACUCAAAGGAGACUGCCAGUGAUAAACUGGAGGAAGGUGGGGAUGACGUCAAGUCAUCAUGGCCCUUACGACCAGGGCUACACACGUGCUACAAUGGCGCAUACAAAGAGAAGCGACCUCGCGAGAGCAAGCGGACCUCAUAAAGUGCGUCGUAGUCCGGAUUGGAGUCUGCAACUCGACUCCAUGAAGUCGGAAUCGCUAGUAAUCGUGGAUCAGAAUGCCACGGUGAAUACGUUCCCGGGCCUUGUACACACCGCCCGUCACACCAUGGGAGUGGGUUGCAAAAGAAGUAGGUAGCUUAACCUUCGGGAGGGCGCUUACCACUUUGUGAUUCAUGACUGGGGUGAAGUCGUAACAAGGUAACCGUAGGGGAACCUGCGGUUGGAUCACCUCCUUACCUUAAAGAAGC
rnacentral:rRNA from 1 species